rnacentral:rRNA from 1 species
UUGGAGGGCAAGUCUGGUGCCAGCAGCCGCGGUAAUUCCAGCUCCAAUAGCGUAUAUUAAAGUUGUUGCAGUUAAAAAGCUCGUAGUUGAACUUCGGGACCUGUGGGUUGGUCGUGCCUCCGGUACGUACUGGCUCUACCGGUUCCUCCCUUCUGAAGAACCACGAUGUCAUUAAUUUGGUGUCGUGGGGAAUCAGGACUGUUACUUUGAAAAAAUUAGAGUGUUUAAAGCAGGCUAACGCUUGAAUACAUUAGCAUGGAAUAACGAAAUAGGACGUUCGAUCUUAUUUUGUUGGUUUCUAGGAUUGACGUAAUGAUUAAUAGGGAUAGUUGGGGGCAUUAGUAUUCAAUUGUCAGAGGUGAAAUUCUUGGAUUUAUUGAAGACUAACUACUGCGAAAGCAUUUGCCAAGGAUGUUUUCAUUAAUCAAGAACGAAAGUUAGGGGAUCGAAGACGAUCAGAUACCGUCGUAGUCUUAACCAUAAACUAUGCCGACUAGGGAUCGGAUGAUGUUAAUUUUAUAAUGACUCAUUCGGCGCCUUACGGGAAAC